AGGGAAUUAGCUCAGUGGUUAGAGCGUUUGCCUUGUUGGUAAAAGGUCAUCGGUUCGACUCCGAUAUUCUCCACAA
rnacentral:tRNA from 1 species